rnacentral:lncRNA from 1 species
AGCCGAGAAGAUCUGGGAAGGAGUCAGAGAGCGUUCCCGGGGCUCUGGGAGUGGCUGCCAGUUCAUGGGACUGGAUAGUGAUUGACUUUUGAGUGGCCUUCCUCAAAGCAUGGUCUGAAGACCACUGCAUCAGGAUCACCAGAGCCUCUUGUUGAAAAUAAAAAAAAAACACCUCUGUUUGCAUCUGUAGACAAAGAUCUGUUCAGAAUGGUUGGCUUUGUGAGGUGCUGUGAGACAGAGAUGAAAAAGACAAUCUUCCAAGCCUUAGGAAAAAAAUAUUAACCAACCAUCUCUAGGAAAUUGCAAAAUAGUUUCUACUUUAUCAGGAUUUCCAAUUCCAGGUGAAUAGGAUAAAGAUGAUGGUCUUUGGAGGCAAAAAAAGUGUUACUGGGAAAGAAGUGAUAACCAGACACAUUCACAUCAUUAUGCACCAUCUCUGUUCUGAUAGAGAAGCCAAAAGCACAGGGCCAAUCCUUUGCUUAAGUUAUGAGCAUGACAUCUCCACUGAGCUCCAGACUUGUAUAUCCAACUGCCUACUCUCACCUCUACUUAGAUGUCUAAUAAACAUCUUGAUUUCAAUACAUUCCUGAUGGUUAACAUUAGGUAUCAACUUGACUGGAUUGAGGAAUGCCUAAAAGGCUGGUGAAUCAUUGUUCCUGGGUAUGUCUGUGAGGAUGUUUCGAGAGGAAAUUGACAUUUGAGUCAGCGGACUGAGAGAAGGAAGAUCCACCCUCAAUGUGUGUGGGCACCAUCCAAUCAGCUGCCAGCACAGCUAGAACAAAAGAG